rnacentral:rRNA from 1 species
UGCCAGACUCCUACGGGAGGCAGCAGUGAGGAAUAUUGGUCAAUGGGCUUACGCCUGAACCAGCCAAGCCGCGUGAGGGAUGAAGGUACAGAGUAUCGUAAACCUCUUUUGUCAGGGAACAAAGGCGGGGACGUGUCCCCGGAUGAGUGUACCUGAAGAAAAAGCAUCAGCUAACUCCGUGCCAGCAGCCGCGGUAAUACGGAGGAUGCGAGCGUUAUCCGGAUUUAUUGGGUUUAAAGGGUGCGCAGGCGGUCUGUUAAGUCAGCGGUCAAAGCCCGGGGCUCAACCCCGGCCGGCCGUUGAAACUGGUUUUCUAGAGUUGGAGAGAAGUAUGCGGAAUUCGUGGUGUAGCGGUGAAAUGCAUAGAUAUCACGAAGAACUCCGAUUGCGAAGGCAGCAUACCGGCUCCAUACUGACGCUGAGGCACGAAAGCGUGGGGAUCGAACAGGAUUAGAUACCCUUGUA